GAAAUGCGAUAAUUAAUGUGAAUUGCAGAAUUCAGUGAAUCAUCGAGUCUUGAACGCACAUUGCGCCCCCUGGUAUUCCGGGGGGCAUGCCUGUCCGAGCGUCAUUGCUGCCCUCAAGCACGGCUUGUGUGUUGGGCUUCCGUCCCUGGCAACGGGGACGGGCCCAAAAGGCAGUGGCGGCACCAUGUCUGGUCCUCGAGCGUAUGGGGCUUUGUCACCCGCUCCCGUAGGUCCAGCUGGCAGCUAGCCUCGCAACCAAUCUUUUUAACCAGGUUGACCUCGGAUCAGGUAGGGAUACCCGCUGAACUUAAGC
rnacentral:misc_RNA from 1 species